rnacentral:rRNA from 1 species
UACGAAGGGGGCUAGCGUUGUUCGGAAUUACUGGGCGUAAAGCGCGUGUAGGCUGCUUCGCAAGUCGGAUGUGAAAGCCCUGGGCUCAACCCAGGAAGUGCAUUCGAAACUGCAGAGCUGGAGUCCUGGAGAGGAAGGCGGAAUUCUCGGUGUAGAGGUGAAAUUUGUAGAUAUCGAGAGGAACACCGGUGGCGAAGGCGGCCUUCUGGACAGUGACUGACGCUGAGACGCGAAAGCGUGGGGAGCAAACAGG